rnacentral:lncRNA from 1 species
UGAAUCCAUUCAGCAUCAGUCAACUUGGGACUUUAAGGGUGCUAUUUUUCUUUUGUUUCUUUCUUUCUUUUGAUUUUUGAUUUCGAUUUCUUUUGAUUUUGCACCUUCCUCUUUCUUUCUUUUUUUUCCCCUUUUUUUUUGUUUUUUUUUAAAUGCCCCAGUUGGCUGUUCUGCUGAUUCUCGAGAUGCAGCUGAGUGAUCUUCUUUUCUUGCUCAAGAAGUCAGGAAAUCUCGUCAGGAAUCCCUUCAACAUCAUCUUCUUCCGCUUCGAAUACAGGGAAUUCAAAAUUGGGAGAUAACGUCGGAUCAUUAUGUUCAAUGGGUUUAAGAAACAACCUGCAUAAAGAUUUUGAGUAUAAAAGCUUUUUGGAAAUCAAACAAGACAAUCAUUAUGCAGAUGAAAAGAUUGCUUUUAUUCUUG